rnacentral:rRNA from 1 species
UACGUAGGUGACCAGCGUUGUCCGGAUUUACUGGGCGUAAAGAGCGCGCAGGCGGUCGUUCAAGUCGAGUGUGAAAGCCCCCGGCUCAACUGGGGAGGGUCACCCGAUACUGAUCGACUUGAAGGCAGGAGAGGGAAGCGGAAUUCCCGGUGUAGUGGUGAAAUGCGUAGAUAUCGGGAGGAACACCAGUGGCGAAGGCGGCUUCCUGGCCUGUUCUUGACGCUGAGGCGCGAAAGGCUAGGGGAGCAAAACGGG